UCGCGCCUACGGGGGGCAGCAGUGGGGAAUAUUGCACAAUGGGGGAAACCCUGAUGCAGCGACGCCGCGUGAGUGAAGAAGUAUUUCGGUACGUAAAGCUCUAUCAGCAGGGAAGAAAAAAAGUCCUUUGGACUUUGGACGGUACCUGACCAAGAAGCCCCGGCUAACUACGUGCCAGCAGCCGCGGUAAUACGUAGGGGGCAAGCGUUAUCCGGAUUUACUGGGUGUAAAGGGAGCGUAGACGGCGAUGCAAGCCAGGAGUGAAAGCCCGGGGCCCAACCCCGGGACUGCUCUUGGGACUGCGU
rnacentral:rRNA from 1 species